GCCUUCGGGAACUCUGACACAGGUGCUGCAGUGGCUGUCGUCAGCUCGUGUCGUGAGAUGUUGGGUUAACGUCCCGUAACGAGCGCUAACCCUUGUCCUUAGUUACCAGCACGUUAUGGUGGGCACUCUAAGGAGACUGCCGGUGACAAACCGGAGGAAGGUGGGGAUGACGUCAAGUCAUCAUGGCCCUUACGGCCUGGGCUACACACGUGCUACAAUGGUCGGUACAAAGGGUUGCCAAGCCGCGAGGUGGAGCUAAUCCCAUAAAACCGAUCGUAGUCCGGAUCGCAGUCUGCAACUCGACUGCGUGAAGUCGGAAUCGCUAGUAAUCGUGAAUCAGAAUGUCACGGUGAAUACGUUCCCGGGCCUU
rnacentral:rRNA from 1 species